ensembl:lncRNA
GUAUUAGACCUCUUUUUAUAAUGAAUCAUGUUCUGACACACUUCGGAAUGCAACAUCUGCCUUCGUGUCCUUGCAUUGGGUUUCAGGACAAUGACAAGAGAGGACACAGGAAUCCUGUACGAUUAAAACGGUCCUGAAGAUGAAAGCGUGUAGUGUUAAUGAAGCAGAAAGUGUGAGAUAUUGAGCUGAGCAGAGCUCCUCCCUCUGGCUGCUGUCCUCUCUGGUGUUCAUUAUUGGUUUUGAGGUCUUGGCUGAUGGGUGUUUGCUCUCAUACAGUCCCUCCUGCGGUGGAACGGCCUGUCAGGGGUUUUUCCCAGAGGAGCUACAGUGAAAAGACUAGCCAAAGAACCUCCUGAGUGUCCCAGCUGAGCACUGUAAUCACUGACUUUAGCCAUUAGCUCCCUUCAUCUCCUGCUUAUUGUUAAUUAUUUCAUUCUCUGAUUUUGUCCGUAUGCCACAGUUUCUUGCGGGCCGCUCUCCUUUUGUCACACACCUGAUCUAUUUUUCAUAAGAACUGCAAACUGAUGCAUAUUAAGUGGGGACAGUGUUCAGGUCAGUGCCAGGCUUUCCUGGCCGGCCCUGUUUGUCAGAACUCCUGUCCCUCACUUCCUGUCUGUCACGCCUCCUUUUCCCCAAGAGAUGCAUGUGUGUUCUGUGUAAUUAGCUGGAAAACAAGCAUGGCCCUGUGAACUCCUCAUUUAUUUCCUUUAGCUUUGUGGCUCAGACGAGUCUCGGACAUCAGACACCUUACGCCAGUGGUCUCAAACUCAGUUCCUGGAGGCCCACAGAGUUUAGCUCCAACCAGCUCCAGCUCACACCUGCUUGGAAGUUUCUGGUAAUCCUGAAGACCUUGAUUAUCUGGAUCAGGUGUGUUUGAUUGGGGUUGGAGCUAAACUGUGUCGAGCUGUGGCCCUCCAGGAACUGAGUUUGAGACCAGUGUCUUUCAGAUGUCUCAGACAUGGAGAAGACUGGCUGUGUCUCCAGUGUUUCUCAUGCUGCAGGGUGGCUGUGUUUCUGAGUGAGAGGCUA